AACGAACGCUGGCGGCAUGCCUAACACAUGCAAGUCGAACGAGACCUUCGGGUCUAGUGGCGCACGGGUGCGUAACGCGUGGGAACCUGCCUUUAGGUUCGGAAUAACUCAGAGAAAUUUGAGCUAAUACCGGAUGAUGUCUUCGGACCAAAGAUUUAUCGCCUUUAGAUGGGCCCGCGUUGGAUUAGCUAGUUGGUGGGGUAAAGGCCUACCAAGGCGACGAUCCAUAGCUGGUCUGAGAGGAUGAUCAGCCACACUGGGACUGAGACCCGGCCCAGACUCCUACGGGAGGCAGCAGUGGGGAAUAUUGGACAAUGGGCGAAAGCCUGAUCCAGCAAUGCCGCGUGAGUGAUGAAGGCCUUAGGGUUGUAAAGCUCUUUUACCCGAGAUGAUAAUGACAGUAUCGGGAGAAUAAGCUCCGGCUAACUCCGUG
rnacentral:rRNA from 1 species